rnacentral:rRNA from 1 species
ACGGGGGAGUAACGCGGGUGACCGCCCCAUAAUGGGGAAUAACAGUUGAAACGACUGCUAAUACCGCAUAACUGAGCAAAUCAGUAAAAGGAGUUUACAGCUUCCGCUUAUGGAUGGGCCCGCGUCUGAUUAGCUAGUUGGUGGGAUAAAAGCCUACCAAGGCGACGAUCAGUAGCCGGCCUGAGAGGGUGGACGCCACACUGGGACUGAGACACGGCCCAGACUCCUACGGGAGGCAGCAGUGGGGAAUAUUGCGCAAUGGGGGAAACCCUGACGCAGCGACGCCGCGUGAGCGAAGAAGGCCUUAGGGUCGUAAAGCUCUGUUUUAAGGGACGAAAAUUCGCAGGAGUAACUGCCUGUGAAGUGACGGUACCUUAAGAGAAAGCCCCGGCUAACUACGUGCCAGCAGCCGCGGUAAGACGUAGGGGGCGAGCGUUGUCCGGAAUUACUGGGCGUAAAGAGCACGUAGGCGGGAUAACAAGUCAGGUGUGAAAGACCGUGGCUCAACCACGGGGUUGCAUUUGAAACUGUAAUUCUUGAGGGCAGGAGAGGAAAGUGGAAUUCCUGGUGUAGCGGUGAAAUGCGUAGAAAUCAGGAGGAACACCGGUGGCGAAGGCGACUUUCUGGACUGACCCUGACGCUGAGGUGCGAAAGCGUGGGUAGCAAACAGGAUUAGAUACCCUGGUAGUCCACGCUGUAAACGAUGGAUACUAGGUGUGGGAGGUAUCGACCCCUUCCGUGCCGCAGCAAACGCAAUAAGUAUCCCGCCUGGAGAGUACGGUCGCAAGGCUGAAACUCAAGGAAUGACGGGAAACCGCACAA